UAUCCGUUGGUGAACCAGCGGAGGGAUCAUUACCGAGUUUACAACUCCCAAACCCCUGUAAACAUACCAUUUGUUGCCUCGGCGGUGCCUGCUCCGGCAGCCCGCCAGAGGACCCAAACCCUUGAUUUUAUACAGUAUCUUCUGAGUAAUUGAUUAAAUAAAUCAAAACUUUCAACAACGGAUCUCUUGGUUCUG
rnacentral:misc_RNA from 1 species